UCCUCACUAGUAUAUCGGUUAGUAUAUUCGCCUCUCAGUCGAGAGCCGCUGUUGCGGAAGCACAGCGAUACCGCGAAAGAGCAGGGUUCAACUCCCUGGUGGGGAG